rnacentral:rRNA from 1 species
GGGCCCGCACAAGCGGUGGAGUAUGUGGUUUAAUUCGAUGCAACGCGAAGAACCUUACCAGGGUUUGACAUCCUGCGAAUCUCUUGGAAACAGGAGAGUGCCUUCGGGAACGCAGUGACAGGUGGUGCAUGGCUGUCGUCAGCUCGUGUCGUGAGGUGUCAGGUUAAGUCCUAUAACGAGCGCAACCCCCUGCCGUUAGUUGCCAGCAUGUAAUGAUGGGAACUCUAACGGGACUGCCGGUGCAAACCGCGAGGAAGGUGGGGAUGACGUCAAAUCAUCACGGCCCUUACGUCCUGGGCUACACACGUGCUACAAUGGCCGGUACAGAGGGCAGCCACACGCAAGGUGGAGCGAAUCCUUAAAACCGGUCUCAG